rnacentral:rRNA from 1 species
UACGGAGGGUGCAAGCGUUAUCCGGAUUCACUGGGUUUAAAGGGUGCGUAGGUGGGUUGGUAAGUCCGUGGUGAAAUCUCCGAGCUUAACUCGGAAACUGCCGUGGAUACUAUCAAUCUUGAAUACUGUGGAGGUAAGCGGAAUAUGUCAUGUAGCGGUGAAAUGCUUAGAUAUGAAAUAGAACACCGAUAGCGGAGGCAGCUUGCUACACAGUCAUUGACACUGAGGCACGAAAGCGUGGGGAUCAAACAGG